rnacentral:rRNA from 1 species
GAUGAACGCUGGCGGCGUGCCUAAUACAUGCAAGUCGAGCGAACAGACGAGGAGCUUGCUCCUCUGACGUUAGCGGCGGACGGGUGAGUAACACGUGGAUACCCUACCUAUAAGACUGGGAUAACUUCGGGAAACCGGAGCUAAUACCGGAUAAUAUCUUGAACCGCAUGGUUCAAUAGUGAAAGACGGUGUUGCUGUCACUUAUAGAUGGAUCUGCGCCGCAUUAGCUAGUUGGUACGGUAACGGCUUACCACGGCAACGAUGCGUAGCCGACCUGAGAGAGGGAUCGGCCGCACGGGAACGGGGACACGGACCAGAGGACUACGGUAGGGCGCAGACGGCAAUGGUCCGCAGCAGGCGAAAGUAUGACGGAGCAACGGCGAGUGAGAGAAGAAGGUCUUCGGAGCGUAAAGCUCGGUUACUAGUGAAGAACAAAUGUGGAAGUAAACAUGCACGGCGUGACGGUACCUAAUCAGAAAGCAACGGCUAACUACGUG